rnacentral:rRNA from 1 species
CCCUUAGAUGUCCUGGGCCGCACGCGCGCUACACUGACAUGUUCAACAAGUUUCUCCUAGUUCGACAGGACUGGGAAAUCUUUGAACGCAUUUCGUGAUAGGGAUAGAUCAUUGCAAUUAUUGAUCUUGAACGAGGAAUUCCUAGUAAACGCGAGUCAUCAGCUCGCAUUGAUUACGUCCCUGCCCUUUGUACACACCGCCCGUCGCACCUACCGAUUGAAUGUUUCGGUGAAGAUUCCGGAUAGGACUGAUUUGAUUUAUUUCAUUUCUGACCUAAAAGCUAUCUAAACCUCAACAUUUAGAGGAAGGUGAAGUCGUAACA